rnacentral:rRNA from 1 species
CCGAACUCACGCCUGUUGAAAAAGUCGGAGAUGAGGUGUGGAUAGGAGUGAAAGGCUAAUCAAGGCGGGUGAUAGCUGGUUCUCCUCGAAAGCUAUUGAGGUAGCGCCUCGCGUCUAACUCAGGGGGGUAGAGCACUGUUACGGCUAGGGGGGACAUAAGUCCUUACCAAACCGUUGCAAACUCCGAAUACCCUGAAGUUCAAUCGCGGGAGACACACGGUGGGAGCUAAAUUUCAUCGUGAAGAGGGAAACAACCCAGACCGCCAGCUAAGGUCCCAAAGAUUGGCUAAGUGGAAAACGAAGUGGGAAGGCUAAAACAGUCAGGAUGUUGGCUUAGAAGCAGCCAUCCUUUAAAGAAAGCGUAAUAGCUCACUGAUCGAGUCGUCCUGCGCGGAAGAUGUAACGGGGCUAAGCCAGUUACCGAAGCUGCGGAUGUGCAAUUUAUUGCACGUGGUAGGAGAGCGUUCUGUAAGCCUGUGAAGGUGGCGGUGUAAACCCUGCUGGAGGUAUCAGAAGUGCGAAUGCUGACAUGAGUAGCGUUAAAGGGGGUGAAAAGCCCCCUCGCCGUAAGCGCAAGGUUUUCUACGCAACGUUCAUCGGCGUAGAGUGAGUCGGCCCCUAAGGCGAGGCAGAGAUGCGUAGCUGAUGGGAAACAGGUCAAUAUUCCUGUACCGAUGUGUAGUGCGAUGUGGGGACGGAGAAGGUUAGCUCAGCCAACUGUUGGAUAUGUUGGUUCAAGCCUGUAGUCGUGCCUGGUAGGUAAAUCCGCCGGGCUUAGAUGAGGGGUGAUAACGAGUCUGCUUGCAGACGAAGUGAGUGAUACCCUGCUUCCAGGAAAAGCCACUAAGCUUCAGCUAUUGACGACCGUACCGCAAACCGAC